UACGUAGGGACCGAGCGUUGUCCGGAUUCAUUGGGCGUAAAGAGCUCGUAGGCGGCCACUCAAGUCGAAUGUGAAACCUCGAGGCUCAACCUCGAGCCUGCAUUCGAUACUGGGCGGCUAGAGUCUGGUAGGGGGAUCUGGAAUUCCUGGUGUAGCGGUGAAAUGCGCAGAUAUCAGGAAGAACACCAAUGGCGAAGGCAGCUCUCUGGGACGGUACUGACGCUGAGACGCGAAAGCGUGGGGAGCGAACAGG
rnacentral:rRNA from 1 species